AUACGGAGGGGGCUAGCGUUGUUCGGAAUUACUGGGCGUAAAGCGUACGUAGGCGGAUUGAUCAGUUGGGGGUGAAAUCCCAGGGCUUAACCCUGGAACUGCCUUCAAUACUGUCAGUCUUGAGUCCGGAAGAGGUGAGUGGAAUUCCUGGUGUAGAGGUGAAAUUCAUAGAUAUCAGGAGGAACACCAGUGGCGAAGGCGGCUCACUGGUCCGGUACUGACGCUGAGGUACGAAAGCGUGGGGAGCAAACAGGAUUAGAAACCCUAGUAGUCC
rnacentral:rRNA from 1 species